GUAAUGGUGUUGUGGAGAGAGGCACUGAGGCUAGUGGUGUUGUAGAGAGAGGCACUGAGGCUAGUGGUGUUGUGGAGAGAGGCACUGAGGCUAGUGGUGUUGUGGAGAGAGGCACUGAGGCUAGUGGUGUUGUGGAGACCGGCUUGGAGACUAUGGUGAGGCCUAAUAGAAAGCAGUUGUUGUUGGGUGAUUCCAUUAUAAGAG